CCUACGGGUGGCAGCAGUGAGGAAUAUUGGUCAAUGGCCGGAAGGCUGAACCAGCCAUGCCGCGUGAAGGUCAGUGCCCUAUGGGCGUUAAACUUCUUUUGUGCGGGAGCAAUAAUGGUCACGGGUUGCCAGAUGAGAGUACCUUACUAAUAAGCAUCGGCUAACUCCGUGCCAGCAGCCGCGGUAAUACGGGGGAUGCAAGCGUUAUCCGGGUUUUUUGGGUUUAAAGGGUGCGUAGGAUGUGAGGUUAGUCAGCGGUGGAAUGCCUCCGGUCAACGGGGUGAAGUGCAAUUGAUACUGCCUGGCUGGAGUGCGGAUGAGGUAGGAGGAAUGUGUGGUGUAGCGGUGAAAUGCAUAGAUAUCACGAAGAACACCGAUUGCGAAGGCAUCUCACGAAUCCGCGAUUGACGCUGAUGCACGAAAGCGUGGGUAUCAAACAGGAUUAGAUACCCGGGUAGUC
rnacentral:rRNA from 1 species